CUCUGGAACAAGUUUAGCGUUUGUGAUGUGCUGCUGGGUGUUUCUAAGGCAGAUGACAAAAGCGAGGACAAACGCAAAGUUUCUGAUAGCUUUUUUUGGAACAAGCUCGGGAACAAGACAUUGAUCAUAAUAUCGUAGAUUUUGCUUGGAAUUCAUCAUGAAGUGCAAUCGAAAAUGUAAUAAUGGCUUGACACUGGCAUGCGAAAAAGUUCAGUGCCGAUCUGCUAUUGAACGAAUGUUUCACUUCGAAGAAGUUGGAACCGCCCAUCGCAUUCUUUUCCUUCGUAAGAACCUGAAUAAAUCGAUUAACAUACCAGCUGACACGGAGGGCGACAAUCCAUCAUCAUCUGGCAGGCCUAAAUUUUCCUAGCAAACCAUUGCCAAGCCAUCUCAAUCAGGCGAAUAGCGGGAUGGGCUGUGAUACUGCAAAGCGUUUUGAGCGGUGGUGCAGAACUCAUCUGCUAAGCCUUCAACCCAGCAGGUGCGUAAUGGUGGUUCAGCAGAUCCAAGUGGCUGUCCAAGCGGUAUCAAUCAGCUCAAUCAGUUGAUGAAUAACAUAAAGGAUGUCAGCGCUUCCAAUAAUCAAAUGACGAUGAUUCCGAAAACAAAGCAACAAAUCGCUGGAUUCUAGAGGCGAAUUGCCACGCAACAAGAAAUCUACGUGAAGCAGCAUUUGAAACCUGGCAAAUAACUUCCAUCGUAAACAGCAUGAUCUAACUACUCUUCAAAAUAAUUUAUCAGAACGAAAAAAUAAUGUAUGGAAAUAAGUAAAGAACAUACCACCAUGGCCCUGGAGGCGGCGUUACCGGUACCUGUUUCGGUAGUCAACAAUCUCGUCUGAACCAGUGGAAGUUGACCAUCACCGACAAGAGUGUGGGAUACGAUUUUAUUGAUUUCUCGCCUGCAUUUGGAACGACGGCAAAAUCCACAGCUUCCCCUACUGGAUCAAACAUAAGCGGUGUACGGUGUACGUGGUUUACAAGGUGGUAACCGAGCUUACAGCACCUGGUCCAUCUGUCGUGGAGGAAUUGGAGUUGGAUGGCCAGAUUAUUCAGCCGAUACUGCCAUGGCAGUUUAUAUUAACCUGCUAAUCAACGUUCUUUCACUGAUUUGGUUCCCGAGUUUGAACUUCAAAUACCUACCGAGACAACAUUAAAUCAACAAUC